rnacentral:pre_miRNA from 1 species
UCAGAUUUACAUCACCUAGGGAUCUUGUUAAAAGGCAGAUUCUGAUUCAGGGACCAAGAUUCUGCAUUUUUAGCAAGUUCCCAAGUCAUGCUAAUGCUUCU